UCUCUUCCAGAAAGAUAGCGGAAGAGCGUUCUUCUUCUACGUUUGUUAAAAGCACCACACUGCCAUCCGUCGUCUUGGCGGUGUAAGCGGAGAACUGUCUCGGAGGUGCUGGAGACUCACUUGAAAAACAACAGCUAACGUUAGCAAGUGGAGUUGCUAGCAAACGCAAUUUGUUAGCAACUGUUGUUAACAUUAAAGUAGCGUUGGAUUUGAUCGCAACACACCAAACGUAGUCUUAUAUUCAAUCCUAUAGCGGUAAGAAAGGCAAUGGUCCAUGAAGAGUUUUGGAUACACGGAGAGUGGCUUGUCCACCAAGGUCAUCAUCAGACACUGGAGCACCGAUAAAACACUCAAAACUGAUAAACCAUGAUCCCCAUCACUGAGUUGCGGUACUUUGUGGACACACAGCCGGCAUACCGCAUCCUGAAACCAUGGUGGGAUGUGUUCACAGACUACAUCUCCAUUGUUAUGCUUAUGAUUUCUGUGUUUGGGGGGACACUGCAGGUCACCCAGGACAAGAUGAUCUGCCUGCCCUGCAAAUGGGUGGUCAACCAGACCUGCAGGAAGAACUUCAAUUCUACUCUCUCCCCAUCAUUGUUCUUGGAGCCCAAAGGGAUCCAGUAUGAUCUGGACCGCCACCAGUACAACUAUGUGGAUGCUGUGUGCUAUGAGAAUAGAUUGCACUGGUUUGCCAAGUAUUUUCCUUACCUAGUAUUACUUCACACCCUUAUUUUCCUAGCUUGCAGCAACUUUUGGUUUAAGUUCCCACGGACUAGUUCCAAACUAGAGCACUUUGUAUCCAUCCUACUGAAAUGCUUUGACUCUCCAUGGACAACUAGGGCACUGUCAGAAACCGUGGUCGAAGAGAGUGACCCAAAACCAAUGAAAAUGAACGGCUCAAUGGACCACAAGGAGUCCGUUAUCAGUGAGGAUGUUGAAGCCAGUGUUCCUAUGCUCCAAAGAACAAAGACACGCCUUGAGCAGGGCAUUGUAGAUAGAACAGAAACCGGGGUUUUGGACAAGAAAGAGGGUGAACAGGCAAAAGCACUCUUUGAAAAAGUCAAAAAGUUCCGUAUACACGUUGAAGAAGGAGACAUUGUAUACAGACUGUAUAUCCGUCAGACUAUCAUCAAAGUCAUCAAGUUUAUUUUGAUAAUCUGCUAUACAGGGUAUUACGUGCAUGAUAUUCAAUUCAGUGUUGACUGUUCGGUGAAUAUAGAGAGCCUGACCGGUUACAGCAUGUACCGAUGUGCUCACCCCUUGGCUACACUUUUUAAAAUAUUAGCCUGUUUCUACAUUAGCUUAGUAAUGGUGUAUGGUUUGAUCUGCAUGUACACACUUUCCUGGAUGCUUCGGCGCUCUCUAAAGAAGUACUCCUUUGAGUCGAUACGGGAAGAGAGCAGCUACAGUGACAUACCCGAUGUGAAGAAUGACUUUGCAUUCAUGAUGCACAUGAUAGAUCAGUAUGACCCUCUGUACUCCAAACGCUUCGCUGUGUUCCUCUCAGAAGUAAGCGAAAAUAAGCUGAGGCAACUCAACCUCAACAAUGAGUGGACACUGGACAAGCUCCGGCAAAGGAUUACCAAGAACUCUCAGGAGAAGUUGGAGUUGCACCUUUUCAUGCUGAGUGGCAUUCCAGACACAGUAUUUGACCUGAUGGAGCUGGAGGUUGUUAAACUGGAGCUUAUCCCUGAUGUCACCAUCCCGCCGAUCAUCGCCCAAUUGGUCAACCUGCGGGAGCUGUGGCUUUACCACACACCAGCCAAAAUCGAAGCUCCUGCAUUGGCUUUUUUGCGUGAGAACUUGAAGUCUCUGCACAUCAAGUUCACUGACAUCAAAGAGAUUCCCUUAUGGAUCUACAGUUUGAAGAAUCUUAGUGAGCUUCAUCUCACAGGGAAUCUCAGUGCGGAGAACAACCGUUACAUUGUCAUUGAUGGGCUCCGGGAGCUCAAGAGGCUCAAAGUUCUUCGUCUGAAGAGCAAUCUCACCAAGCUACCUCAGGUAGUGACUGAUGUGGGCUUGCACCUCCAGAAGCUUUCCAUCAAUAAUGAAGGCACCAAGCUGAUGGUGCUCAACAGCCUGAAGAAGAUGGUCAAUCUGACCGAGCUAGAGCUCAUUCGCUGUGAUCUAGAACGCAUACCACACUCAAUCUUCAGCUUGCACAACUUGCAGGAGAUUGAUCUAAAAGACAACAAUCUAAAGACCAUCGAGGAGAUCAUCAGCUUCCAGCACCUUCAUCGGCUGGUCUGCCUUAAGCUCUGGUACAACCAGAUUGCCUAUAUUCCCAUCCAGAUUGGCACACUGACCAACCUGGAGAAACUGUACCUGAACAGAAACAAGAUCGAGAAGAUCCCCAGCCAUUUGUUUUAUUGCCGCAAGCUGCGCUUCCUGGACCUGAGCCAUAACAACCUAACUGAUAUCCCUACCGACAUAGGCUUCCUCCAGAAUCUUCAGUACCUGGCAGUUACUGCCAACAGGAUUGAGGUUCUGCCUAAUGAGCUGUUCCACUGCAAAAAGCUUCGCACUUUGAACUUAGGGAACAAUUGCCUGCAUUCUCUGCCAUCGCGCUUCGGAGAGCUGACCGGGCUGACACAGCUGGAGCUGAGAGGAAACAAUCUGGAGUGUCUGCCUGUGGAGCUGGGCGAGUGCCGACAGCUAAAGAGAACGGGUCUCGUGGUAGAGGAGGACAUCUUCAACACCCUGCCCACGGAGGUCAAGGAACAAUUAUGGAAAAUGGACAAAGAUCAGGCUUGAACAAGUCUGUGGCUGUGUGUUAAAAAUACUGACCAACUGGGCGCUGACACAGAAGGAAGACCUACGCUGUCCUAGAGGGCUUGUUGAAUCAGGCAGUAGUUCUGCUGCAGUGCACUGUCAGUAAGGAGGGAAGACCAUGGCCCUCAAAUACCUUCAUGUGUGCUUGGUUUGAAAAUGAACGUAUAACAAUAAAUAACAAAUCAGGGAUAACUAAUAAGUCAUGUCAAGCAAGGUUAUGGAUUCUGAGAUUCUUUUGUCUCAGAAGGUGUGUAAGGGAGAGGGUCAUUGAGGAGACAAGUAGAGAGGAGAGUGCAAGUGCUGUAGAGACUGAUGAGUUGAUUGUGGUUGGCCUGAGUCUUGGUAGCAGUACAACAUGUGGUAUUAGACUAGAGAGUGCAAUCCUUACAUGGAGCCAGUUUGGCAGAGUGCAGGGUUCGAUGGCAUCUUAUUAUUAAGCAGAUACCUCACCCGUACUGUCAGUAUACUAUUCAGUGCUGAAAAGGUUUUGAAUGAGAGAAGUCAUGUCUGCAUCAAAAUAAUUAAACUGAAGCUUAUACAGGAGAAAACAAUAUUGACAUUAAAAUGGACCCUCCAGAUAGUAAAGAGUUUAGAUGAAUACAGAUGCUUACCUGAAACACUGGAUUGGUUUACCCUUUCUGGGACUGGUAUACAGUAAGCACUGGCCUACUUGUAUGCCCUGAUAGUUGAGUGUUAUUGUCUGCAAAUAACAAGUAAAACAUACACGUAAAAUCCAACAAUAUAUAUACCUGGCCUUGUGUUAAUUUCAGUUUAUUAUAACUUUGUAGGAUUAAUAUUACUAGUGCGGUGCCCUUUAAAAAAAAAGUGCCUGUUUUUAAACGGGUUGAUUGUUCGACCUAUGGUAUUGCUGCUUGCAGCUUUCUCGAGAACCGCUUAUCUAAACAUCCAAAAAAAACAUUAACACUCGCCUCGGACUGCACUUCCUUUCUGUCCAUUUCACAUUAAUGAGAAACACCGUGUUCUCCGGAGAGAAGAGGGGUGAAUACCUCUAUAUAUAGUUAAAAUAAUACUUGCUCUUUGGUGGAUUAUGUGUUCACCAAAUUACAGGAGAUGCUUGGACAGAAUAUUUUUGCCCGGUACAUCUGGCCAGUAAUUGGAGCUGCGUUGUUAUUUUUCUCCUUGUUGUCAUUUCAUUGUUUUUCCUCGGAAUUAUGCUGAUAGAGACACCAGCUCAGAGCAGGACUUUGUGGCAAGCAGUUUUUAAACUUUUUAUCUUCUUUUCAACUUUUUGUUGACUCAUCAGUUUGUUUUUACUUAGCUGUCCCCAUGCACCAAAAUUACAACAGCAGAAGACAGACAGGUGAAGACCAGAGCCCCGUUUCAGGAAGGAGGUUUAACAAACUGAGUCCAACCCUGAACUCUGAGUUGAUU